GGCUCGACAGCUUAGUUGGUAAAGCACUCGUCUAGCAUACAAUAGUCGUGGGUUCGAAUCUCAUUUGAGUAC
rnacentral:tRNA from 1 species